rfam:Listeria grayi DSM 20601 genomic scaffold SCAFFOLD1, whole genome shotgun sequence.
CGGAAAAUGGUUAAUAUUCUUCAGCAGUAAAGUGAAAAAGAUGGUGGCUAAUCCUGAACAAAGGGGUGAUGCCAAUGGUUUUUGAUGGUCUGACUCCUGGAAAGGGUUAAUCAUGUCUGUGUAUGAAGCAAUGACUUUUACAGUAGCUUUUGCUGCCUUAGUCGUUCUAAUACUGGACUUCCA